rnacentral:misc_RNA from 1 species
GAUGAAGAACGUAGCGAAAUGCGAUAAGUAAUGUGAAUUGCAGAAUUCAGUGAAUCAUCGAAUCUUUGAACGCACAUUGCGCCCAUUAGUAUUCUAGUGGGCAUGCCUGUUCGAGCGUCAUUAAUUCCACUUAAGCCCUGCUUAGUGUUGGGAAUCUACUCUAGUGGUGCUACCCUGGAGCUACCCCUGAAAGGGGGCUGGCCCGGUAGCUACCCUGUAGUUCCUCAAAGAUAGUGCGCGGAGUUGCGUGGUCCUCUGAGCUUAGUAACUAUACACCUAGCUUUUGAGUGUCCCGCGGCGCCUGCCGUUUAAACCCCAUCUUUUAAUGGUUGACCUCGGAUCAGGUAGGAAUCCCCGCUGAACUUAAGCAUAUCAAUAAGCGGAGGA